UUUGCAUAGAGCGCUCGUUCCCUGUCGUUCGGCAAGCUACGCGCAUACGCACCGUCGAGAGAGUGAGAGAGGUGACCCCCAAAAUCUACUCCUCUCUGGCUCGUUUAACGUAUACGAGUGUGACAUUGCAGUGCCCUUUCCAGUAUAUAGUAUAGCAUAUAUAGACCAAAGUUAUCCUGCGAGUAUCCGUUUUUCUAUGUUUUGUGAAAGCAUGUUUGAGAUCUGGGAGAUUUUUCAUCGUGUUGGGUUCAUAUCAAUAAUAUAUGAAAUAUCAAGCACAGUCCAGAUGACGACAACUGCAGUGAUGAUUCUCUAAGAUUGAUUGGAAACCUGUUCCUUCCCAGACUGUAUAGAUGGAGUACUACAUUGAACGACCAAGAACGAGAGAGUCAAGUUGUGUUGGGUUUCAAGACGCCCUUAUGGUUGAACAUGUUGGCGUUAUAGAGAAGGGUGCAAAGGUAGUUACGUAUAGAAAAUGGACACAAUCUGAAGACUGGGAUGGCCACCGCUCAAGUGAGUCGCAGGAAGAAGCCGAUCCAACUUGGGCUUGAUCGAGAUGUACCACAAAAUUCUAACAAUACCGCAGAUUGGAGAUUUGACGCUGUAUCAUGGAGAAAGGGAUUGUGAUGCCUCAGGUAGCACGCAAUCUUCAAACGCAUUUGAAGACAUGUUGAAGACUUCAGAUGAAGAUGGAGGCUUUCGACAUAUUCAAAAUCCAGGAUUGGAUCAUCAUGAGUUAUAUAGUUUUUAUCGCCAACAUACUGCUAGACGAAUUUAGUUACUAUCAAGGAAUACAUUUUCCUAUCAGUAUAAUAUCUAAAUGAUUUUUCUAUACAUUUUGAACCUGAAUAAAACUGACAAUUGAUUAUA